rnacentral:misc_RNA from 1 species
AAGUCGUAACAAGGUUUCCGUAGGUGAACCUGCGGAAGGAUCAUUAUUGAAUGAAUUUUAGAGUUGGUUGUUGCUGGCCCCACAAAACCAAGGGGGGGGCAAGUGCACGCCUUCUCUUUUCAUCCACACACACCCUGUGCACUUGUGAGACGGAGGAUUUGAAAAAAUGUCCUCUGUCUACUAAUCACACAAACUCGAUUGUACUUUAACUGAAUGUAAUUGAUGUAACACAUCAUUGGAACAAAGUUUCAACAACGGAUCUCUUGGCUCUC